UACGGAGGAGGCAAGCGUUAUCCGGAAUUAUUGGGCGUAAAGCGUCCGCAGGUGGCACUUCAAGUCUGUCGUCAAAGACUGGGGCUUAACCCUGGAAAGGCGGUGGAAACUGAAGCGCUAGAGUGCGGUAGGGGUAGAGGGAAUUCCCGGUGUAGAGGUGAAAUUCGUAGAUAUCGGGAGGAACACCAGUGGCGAAGGCGGCGAUCUGGGAAGAUACUGACGCUGAGGUGCGAAAGCGUGGGGAGCAAACAGG
rnacentral:rRNA from 1 species